rnacentral:rRNA from 1 species
GUGGGGAAUCUUGCGCAAUGGGCGAAAGCCUGACGCAGCCAUGCCGCGUGAAUGAUGAAGGUCUUAGGAUUGUAAAAUUCUUUCACCGGGGACGAUAAUGACGGUACCCGGAGAAGAAGCCCCGGCUAACUUCGUGCCAGCAGCCGCGGUAAUACGAAGGGGGCUAGCGUUGCUCGGAAUUACUGGGCGUAAAGGGCGCGUAGGCGGACAGUUUAGUCAGAGGUGAAAGCCCAGGGCUCAACCUUGGAAUUGCCUUUGAUACUGGCUGUCUUGAGUACAGGAGAGGUGAGUGGAACGCCGCGUGUAGAGGUGAAAUUCGUAGAUAUUCGGAAGAACACCAGUGGCGAAGGCGACUCACUGGCCCGUUACUGACGCUGAGGCUCGAAAGCGUGGGGAGCAAACAGGAUUAGAAACCCGGGUAGUCC